UUGUGCGCGUCGAAGAGCAGGAUGAUGAGGUCCACGCGCUCCGCGAACCAGCGCAGCACCGCCGGGAAGUCGUAGCCUGGGGGUACGGAGCACAAUCGGCGCGAAGGGCAGAGGCCGAUCCAGACGUAUAGGUUGUCAAAAUACUGAAGUGUUUCUUAACAGACUCUCUGUGCUUCUAUGACCACCCCCCCGCCAGUCUCCCAAGUGCCACCAUCACCCCAGCCCCGUCCUCGGACUUCUGGAUCUCCCCACAAUCCAGCCACCAAAGAGUUCACGUUGGCUCUGGCUAUGCUUUUGCCAGAACAGAUGGUAAAUAUUUUGAGUUUAUUUAACAGUA